AGUGAACGCUGGCGGUAGGCCUAACACAUGCAAGUCGAACGGCAGCACAGUAAGAGCUUGCUCUUACGGGUGGCGAGUGGCGGACGGGUGAGGAAUACAUCGGAAUCUACUUUUUCGUGGGUGAUAACGUAGGGAAACUUACGCUAAUACCGCAUACGACCUACGGGUGAAAGCAGGGGAUCUUCGGACCUUGCGCGAUUGAAUGAGCCGAUGUCGGAUUAGCUAGUUGGCGGGGUAAAGGCCCACCAAGGCGACGAUCCGUAGCUGGUCUGAGAGGAUGAUCAGCCACACUGGAACUGAGACACGGUCCAGACUCCUACGGGAGGCAGCAGUGGGGAAUAUUGGACAAUGGGCGAAAGCCUGAUCGAGCCACACCGCGUGGGUGAAGAAGGCCUUCGGGUUGUAAAGCCCUUUUGUUGGGAAAGAAAAGCAGCAGGUUAAUACCCCGCUGUUCUGACGGUACCCAAAGAAUAAGCACCGGCUAACUUCGUG
rnacentral:rRNA from 1 species